AGUGGAAAGCAAUGUCAUGGUUAAUUUAUGGCCAGUGCACGGUCUCGAAAACAACUUUCACAUUCAAAGCAGUCUACCACCCCCUACAGACUAACAUCUGUAACUACCCAUCAUGCAUCGCAUCCUCUCAAAGUGUUCUACAGGGCCUGUUAAUCUCUGAAAGGUUUUUGUAGAGCGGAGCUGAGCUCUGUACCACUGUGUAGCUGGCUGCACAGAAAUAUUGUCCAUCAUCUUCAGGUUGCCUCAGUUUGAGGAGAUGAAGGUAGGCUUCUUUCGCACCAUCUCCACUCACAUCGAAGAUGCCCUGAUAUAGAGACUCAACAGUGGGAUUUUU